rnacentral:miRNA from 1 species
CACACAUAUAUAGCACCCCUAUAUUAUGUGUGUGAGGGGUGAUAUAUAUAUAUAUAUCACCCCUCACACACAUAAUAUAGGGGUGCUAUAUA